rnacentral:lncRNA from 1 species
CUGCUGUCUUCACAGGUCCAUCCUGAGCAGCUGCUCCUCCAGUCUUCAAUGACUUCAGCUGGUGCGAUCAAUCCUGCAGUUUCGGUUCACAUGGAUACGGUUCAGCGUGUUGGUCCGGGCAUAGCUUCUCUGCUGCUCACUACUCCUGCAACUGUCCGUGGGUAUUCCGCUGCGUAGGGCAAGGUGGAGGAGGGUAGCAGGGGAGCGGGUGCAGGUGAGUUACUGGAGUGGGGUAACUUAGUUAGGAGCAUGAGGGGGUUCUAGGACGCUUGGGAGCGUAACACUUAAGCGACGUGGCCGCUGCCCACUUCUGUGGAUAGCCAGGGGUGAGAGGUACCCCUGGGGUCAUUGUAUCUUCUCCCUCAAACGGGGGGGUGUCUGUUUCAGGCCUGGCUCCUGCGUUACAGGUCGUUCCACCUGUGCUUCUGGUGGUGGUCACCGACUAGCCUGUGGUUGCUGUGUUGGCCUCCAGCGGUGAGGUUGCUCAGGCCGCCCAUGGGACGGUGGACAUGUGUUGGUUUGGCCCACUGGGCCUGCAUUUGAAGCCGAAGGUAAGGGAAAGAAUUUGGAAGGGGGAGUUUGUGGAAUUUUUUUCCCCCUUCUCCCCUUGGAGGACCUACCUCCGGCAGAGAAGGAUGCUAAGAAAUCGGAAAAAGGGGUAGGACCAGAUGGACAUUAGGCUCUGGCUGGCGAUAAUGACUCGCCCAGCUUCCCACCAAGGGGGCCUCUCGCCUUUUCUCGGAGGAGCCGGCGUAGGGGCAUCACACUCCGCGUCAGUUGGUCAGCGCAGGAUGGGAUGUUGCUGGCAAUACAAUGAUAACCAGUGCAAGUAUGGCGCGUGUUGUAGAUUGAAGCAUGGAUCAGGAUGCGGGGGAUCCCAUCCCACUUCUUCAAGCGGGGAAAGUCUGAGGAGAAGGGAGAGGCCUUGGGCUCUAAGGGCGAGGACGCCAGUGGACGUAGGCGCGAUGCGCCCUUGGCUAAACCUUUAUAGAAAUAAGAAGGGCGGCAAAGUUGCUGCUGGAAGGUUUUAGUGAGGGGUUCUGGAUCCCUCAUCGAGACAGGGUAGCGCCUUGUUCUUGUCGGAACCUUUGAUCGGUGGGGGAUCACCUUACGGUGAUGCGGGACAAAUUGGCUAAAGAAGUGGCACUAGGACACAUGGUGUGUCCCUUUCGGUUGCCUCCUCUUCCACAUCUCAGGAUCUCAACCCUGGGUGUGGUUCCAAAAAAGGAACCAGAAAAACUUAGACUGAUUCAUCAUUUAUCGUAUCCUCAUGGGGGUUCAGUAAAUGAUGAUAUUGCAGCGGAGCUGUGUACGGUGUCCUAUGCUUCGUUUGAUGCUGCGGUGCACAUGGUGCGGGAGGCAGGUCCGCGGGCAUUGAUGGAAAAAACUGACAUGGAGUUGGCGUUUUGUCUCCUUCCUGUUCACCCGGAGUGUCAUCACCUCUUGGGUUGUAAUUUUGAGGGGCAACUAUGUGGACCUGUGACUCCUGGUGGAGUGCGCACUUUCGUACUUCUACUUUGAGUGCUUUAGCUCAUUUAUGGAGUGGGUGGUGAGGGAGGAGUACGGUUGCGAUUCCAUCAUUCAUUACCUUGACGAUUUUCUGUGCGUCGGUCCUGCCCAUUCUCCAAUGUGUGCGCAGCUCUUUCAGAUGGUAGCUGAUGUGGCAUGUUCGUUUGGGGUCCCGCUGGCUCCGGACAAGACUGAUCGAGAGAGAUUCAAUUGUGGGGGAGUGCCGCUUACCUGCGGAGAAGGUGAGAGAUCUAUGUGUGGCGGUUGAGGCUGCAUGGGGCCUCUGAAAAAUGUAGUUGUGGCAAGUCACUUCUGGGUAAAUUGAACUUUGCGUGUCGGAUCAUGGGCAGGGUCUUAAACAGGCGUUUGGUGGCGGCAAUGUCUUGGGUCGUGAGGCCGCACCACUUUGUGAGCCUUACCCGAGCACUGCGAGAGGAUUUGGCGGUGUGGAGUGUUUUCCUCAACGGGUAUAAUGGCAGGUCCUACUGGCAUUCCGACCUCCAUCUGUUCACUGAUGCGGCGGGGUCAGUGGGGUUUGGGGCCAUCCUGGGUAACACAGUGGUGUGCGGAGUCGUGGCCGGAGUCCUGGCAUUUGGCGUGUUUGACUAGGAACCUGGCAUUCCUAGAGCUGUUCCAAUUAUGGUGGCAGUUCAUCUAUGGGGUUCCUCUCUACGGGAUUGAGGGUUGUGUCCCACUGUGAUAACCUGGGGGUGGUCUUUGCCCUUUACAACUUGACAGCUUCCUCCCCUCCAGUGGUGUGACUUUUGAGGCAUUUGGGUUUGCGCUGCUUGUCUUUGAAUGUUACGUGUAGAGCUGUGCACAUCUCGGGUUUUAAGAACAUAACAGCGGAUAAUCUUUCUCGUUCACAGUGGCAGGCGUUUUGGGCAGCCGCACCGGACACGGAGGGUUCUUCCUGCCCGGCAGAACUGUGGUACCUUGGCCUGAACAAGUGAGGGCUUGGAUCUGGUCAUCAGUGUCAGCUGCCACUUGGGCUUGGUAUGCUAAGGCAUGGGGUGAGUGGGUGGCCUUUGGAACGGGAAAGUGGUGGUUUUGGCUCAGUCCCCCUGAGCAGGCUAUCCUGAGGAAUGGUAGAUGGGAGUCUAGGAGGUCUUAUGUGCGCCUGACCGGGCUGAUUGCGUUUUUCCCUGUUCUUUCUCCACUGAGUCCAGCAGACGGGUCUGGUUUAUUCGGGCAUUCCUAUGUCUAUUGGGUCCAUCUCUGUGCGGGGGUUUCGACCUGGUGGGACUCGUCUCGGCCUGUCUACAGAGUUGGCGGACGUCACAUGGUUUGGGACUCGGGGCAUGAAAUGGGGAAAGCUGCUUCCGGGAGUAGUUCAGCUUGCGAGUCUGUUGGGUGUCCCGGACGUUUUGGUGAUACACUUUGGGGGUAACGAUUUGGGUGCAAUGUCAGUAUGGGGCCUGGGGCAUAUAAUCAAGUGAGACUUGGUGCGCUUAAUGGUUACAGGACGUUUAAGAGCAGGAUGUGGCGUGGUUGGGGAGUCGCGUCUGCUUAUUUAGGGGUAAAGCAACGGGGCUAGUGGCAGGUAAGGUCCUUGCCAAUCCGGGUUGGAGCAAGAGUACAGAUGGAAAGAAGGAAGGUUGGGGCUGAUCCCUCCCCUAACCUCUGGUAAAUGGUUGGACAAACGGACGUGCCCACUGAGCCAAAGGUGGGCUAGAGGUUGGCAUGAUGGGAAGGUGAGGCCAAAUGGUAGUUAGGACGAGGAGGGAGGGCAGGCACCGAGGAGUCUGUGGUUAAAUUGUAUAUCAUGUUGAUAUUGUUAGUAA